GCUGAAAGCAAGACCUGCGGACUCCUUGAGACAUGAGUAGGCAUGCGCGGGGAUUACAUAGGUUGGAACCUUGUCCCUGUAGUGCUGGACGUGGCCAUGGUGGUGACAGCAGCUCCACUCUCACAUUUCCAUUUGGCAUUGCCACAGUGAGGGCCCUGCGCUGGAUCUGCUCCUGGAACAGGGCAUCGUCUUCCAAGACUUCUGGACUCUGGAAUUGGAAACCUGACCUUUGAUCUCUGGCAGGGUCCUAGUUCCGGUUAUAGGCUCCAGGGUAGUGCACUGCGCUUGGCUGACCAGAUCUCUGCAUCUAACCCUGUCUCUUACACCUGCACUUAGCACCCUGGUAUGACAACCUACUGACCUCAACCAGUCAGAAAAGAGGAACUCAGGGCAGCUUUAUUGAUAAAUGCCUUCAGAUAACUCUAAGCUCUUCAGGACUGCAUGCUUAUCUCCAAAAGAUGUCUGAUUUCCUUCAAACACUGCUUUGUACUUGGCACUCCCGCCCCAUUCCCUCAAAUUAAAAUUCUCCAAUUUCUAGGGGCCCUCCCCUCCCAAAAAAUCCUUAGCUUGGUAUAAAGUUUCUCUACCCAUUAGAUGGGACCUGCCUGUCACGUACCUGGUGCG